rnacentral:sRNA from 1 species
UCCGUAGGUGAACCUGCGGAAGGAUCAUUAAUAGUGCCCUCUGAUGCAAAUCAUUGGGUUAGAUCUGCUCUCUUCGCAAGAAGAGGGUUUCCAUACACACCGUGAACUGUGGCUUCGGCCAUCACAAACUGUUAGUAAUGAAUGUAAUAUCAUAACAAAAACAAAACUUUUAACAACGGAUCUCUUGGCUCUCGCAUCGAUGAAGAACGCAGCGAAAUGCGAUAAGUAAUGUGAAUUGCAGAAUUCAGUGAAUCAUCGAAUCUUUGAACGCACCUUGCGCCCUUUGGUAUUCCGAAGGGCAUGCCUGUUUGAGUGUCAUGAAACCUCACCCCACUUGGGUUUUUGCCUGAGCGGUGGUGUAUUGGGUGUUGCCUUGCUAAAGGCUCGCCUUAAAGACAUAAGCACCUUGGAUGUAAUACGUUUCAUCCUUCUGGGUGGCUGAUAACCCCACAUAUUCAUGAUCUGGCCUCAAAUCAGGUAGGGCUACCCGCUGAACUUAAGCAUAUCAAUAAGCGGAGGAAAAGAAACUAACUAGGAUUCCCUUAGUAACGGCGAGUGAACCGGGAUGAGCUCAAAUUUAAAAUCUGGCGUCUUUCAGGCGUCCGAGUUGUAAUCUAUAGAGGCGUUUUCCGCGCCGGACCGCGUCCAAGUCUCUUGGAAUAGAGUAUCAAAGAGGGUGACAAUCCCGUACUUGACGCGACAACCGGUGCUCUGUGAUACGUUCUCAAUGAGUCGAGUUGUUUGGGAAUGCAGCUCUAAAUGGGUGGUAAAUUCCAUCUAAGGCUAAAUAUUGGCGAGAGACCGAUAGCGAACAAGUACCGUGAGGGAAGGAUGAAAAGCACUUUGGAAAGAGAGUUAAACAGCACGUGAAAUUGUUAAAAGGGAAACGCUUGAAGU